AGGAGAGGGAGUGGGGGUCCCCGGAGCUGGGUGUCUCAAGCCUGGUUUGCUACUGCUCUGUUGCAGGUGGAACUGUGUGCCCCC
rnacentral:miRNA from 1 species